GACGAACGCUGGCGGCGUGCUUAACACAUGCAAGUCGAACGGAAAGGCCCUGCUUUUGUGGGGUGCUCGAGUGGCGAACGGGUGAGUAACACGUGAGUAACCUGCCCUUGACUUUGGGAUAACUUCAGGAAACUGGGGCUAAUACCGGAUAGGAGCUCCUGCUGCAUGGUGGGGGUUGGAAAGUUUCGGCGGUUGGGGAUGGACUCGCGGCUUAUCAGCUUGUUGGUGGGGUAGUGGCUUACCAAGGCUUUGACGGGUAGCCGGCCUGAGAGGGUGACCGGCCACAUUGGGACUGAGAGACGGCCCAGACUCCUACGGGAGGCAGCAGUGGGGAAUAUUGCACAAUGGGCGGAAGCCUGAUGCAGCAACGCCGCGUGCGGGAUGACGGCCUUCGGGUGGUAAACCGCUUUCGCCUGUGACGAAGAGUGAGUGACGGUAAUGGGUAAAGAAGCAACGGCUAACUACGUG
rnacentral:rRNA from 1 species